GGCAAUGUGGCUCAGACAGUAAAGCGUCUGCCUGCAAGGCAGCAGACCCAGGUUCGAUCCCUGGGUCG
rnacentral:tRNA from 1 species